AGCAGCCGCGGUAAUUCCAGCUCCAAUAGCGUAUAUUAAAGUUGUCGCAGUUAAAAAGCUCGUAGUUGAAUUUUAGGCCUGGCCGGGCGGUCCGUCUUUGGCGAGUACUGUCCUGUGUCGGGUCCACCUUCUGGUGAACCAGUAUGUCCUUUAUUGGGUGUGCCGGGGAGCCAGGACCAGUUACCUUGAAAAAAUUAGAGUGUUUAAAGCAGGCAUUUGCUUGAAUAGAUUAGCAUGGAAUAAUAGAAUAGGACGUUGUGGUUCUAUUUUGUUGGUUUCUAGGACCACCGUAAUGAUUAAUAGGGACAGUUGGGGGCAUUAGUAUUCAAUUGUCAGAGGUGAAAUUCUUGGAUUUAUUGAAGACUAACUAUUGCGAAAGCAUUUGCCAAGGAUGUUUUCAUUAAUCAAGAACGAAGUUAGGGGAUCGAAGACGAUCAGAUACCGUCGUAGUCUUAACCAUAAACUAUGCCGACUGGGAAUCGGGCGAUGUUGAAAAAAUGACGCGCUCGGCACCUCAUGG
rnacentral:rRNA from 1 species